rnacentral:rRNA from 1 species
UACGGAGGGUGCGAGCGUUGUCCGGAAUCACUGGGCGUAAAGGGCGCGUAGGCGGCUUUUUAAGGGUGCGGUGAAAGCCCGGGGCUUAACCCCGGGUCGGCCGUGCCGACUGAAAGCUGGAGCACUGUAGAGGCAGGUGGAAUUCCGGGUGUAGCGGUGGAAUGCGUAGAGAUGUGGAGGAAUACCGAUGGCGAAGGCAGCCUCCUGGGCCAACACUGACGCUCAUGCACGAAAGCGUGGGGAGCAAACAGG